rnacentral:rRNA from 1 species
AUUGAACGCUGGCGGCAGGCCUAACACAUUCAAGUCGAGCGAGCGGCGGACGGGUGAGUAAUGUAUGGGGACUGCCCGAUCGAGGGGGAUAACUACUGGAAACGGUGGCUAAUACCGCAUACUGUCGGAUAACCCAUAUGGGAUUAGCUAGUAGGUAAGGUAAUGGCUUACCUAGGCGACGAUCCCUAGCUGGUCUGAGAGGAUGAUCAGUAACACGGGAUGUGAGAUACGGACAAGACUAUGAGGGAGGCAGCAGUGGGGAAUAGUGCACAGUGGGCUCAGGCCUGAUUCAGCCAGGGAGCGUGUAGGAAGAAGGUCGUCGGAUUUUAAAGAACGUGCAGUCGGGAGGCUUUACCAACAGAAGAAGCACCGGCUAACUCCGUGACAGCCGACGCGGUAAGUC